rnacentral:snoRNA from 1 species
AAAUUUAAAUGAUGAUAUAUAAGUUUGCAUAGUUCAUCUUAGAGUACUAGCUCGCUGAAGAAUUACUUAGCACAUGUCUUUCGCUCCUAUCUGAUUAUAUUU